GAUGAACGCUGGCGGCGUGCCUAAUACACGCAAGUCGAGCGAACGGACGAGAAGCUUGCUUCUCUGAUGUUAGCGGCGGACGGGUGAGUAACACGUGGAUAACCUACCUAUAAGACUGGGAUAACUUCGGGAAACCGGAGCUAAUACCGGAUAAUAUUUUGAACCGCAUGGUUCAAAAGUGAAAGACGGUCUUGCUGUCACUUAUAGAUGGAUCCGCGCUGCAUUAGCUAGUUGGUAAAGUAACGGCUUACCAAGGCAACGAUGCAUAGCCGACCUGAGAGGGUGAUCGGCCACACUGGAACUGAGACACGGUCCAGACUCCUACGGGAGGCAGCAGUAGGGAAUCUUCCGCAAUGGGCGAAAGCCUGACGGAGCAACGCCGCGUGAGUGAUGAAAGGCGUCGGAUCGUAAAACUCUGUUAUUAGUGAAGAACAUAUGUGUAAGUAACUGUGCACAUCUUGACGGUACCUAAUCAGAAAGCCACGGCUAACUACGUG
rnacentral:rRNA from 1 species